AUUGAACGCUGGCGGCAUGCCUUACACAUGCAAGUCGAACGGCAGCGCGGGGCAACCUGGCGGCGAGCGGCGAACGGGUGAGUAAUAUAUCGGAACGUACCCUGGAGUGGGGAUAACGUAGCGAAAGUUACGCUAAUACCGCAUACGAUCUAAGGAUGAAAGUGGGGAUCGCAAGGACCUCAUUGCUCCUGGAGCGGCCGAUAUCUGAUUAGCUAGUUGGUAGGGUAAAAGCCUACCAA
rnacentral:rRNA from 1 species